CAGUAUUUGAUUCGAUUUUAGCACUGUUUUAGCUCUAGACUCUAUUUCAGCUGAAAGAAAUAGGAAACAGGGCCACAUGAAAAAUUUACCCUCUGUUCUUAGAGUAGAAGGGGCAAAAUGACAAGAGUGAUUUGGUAGAUUAUUUAAAAAUGCAUAAAAAAAAUAUUAAAAUAAAGUAGAUUCAUCCGCCAUAUGGAGUUUGUUGCUAAACUAGAAAUUUACCAAAAUUUCUUAAAAGAGAAUGACCAAAUUCAGGGAGAAGACCAGAUCAACAGAAGAAUGGCCACAAUGAAAAUCCAUAUUGAUAAUCAGAUAAGGUUGUGGAGUGAUAGAUGGUAAGAAACUCAGUUAAAGAUAGAUUAUUAUUAUUAUUAUUAUUUUUUUUUUUAUUUGAAGAACAGGAAAUCAAAAACAAUAGGAGGGACUCCAUUAGGUCCACAAUUCUUCUGAAGAUCAAGUCUAGCAAGGACAUGGAAAACACCAUUAAGGAAGAAUCCUAAUAGAAGGCCAUUCCUUCUGACAGGCUUCUGGAGGCUACCUGGCGAGCACCACUGGAUCCACUUUUUUGGGGGGUUCCAAGUCCGACGGAGAUGAAGGUUUCCUUCAGGGAGAUGGCAAAGAGAUGCAGGCUUCAUUUAAAAGGAAAUACAUGUACAGUUCUAAGAGGGAAGGUAUUCUUUCAAGGAGUGAAAAAGUUUAUUCUCUAAACUGAAUAGUGCUGUCUAAGAGUUGGGGUGAAGAAACAGGUAGUUAGUGAGUAUAUAUACACAAGACCACCAACACAUUAAGACAUGUGAUAGAUCCCAUGAGUUAUCUUUGCUACAAAACAUCAAGGGAAAUUAGAAUAAGGAGAGAGAGAGAAAAAAAAAAAAACAUGGAGUAUUAUAGAAAUCCUUAAGAGUCAAUCAACAUUAUUACAAAAAUUAACAAUGACUAGAAUACAGUGCAUGCAUUGCAAAUGACAAUUGCAUAAAAAAUAAAAUGAAGAGUGAAACAGAGAGAGAGAGAGAGAGAGAGAGAGAGAGAGAGAGAGAGAGAGAGAGAUAAAUUUUGUUUGUAAUUAACAUGAGGUUAACCAAGUUAAUUUUAUCCCUGAAUACCAACAAUUAGUGUUUGAUGGACACUUGGUUCUCUGGUGCUUAGUAAAGUAACUUUAGCUAUACAGCAGGACAAAGAAUAAUAGUUGACAUUGAUAAUUCAUUAAUGAGGAACUGCCACAGAGUAAUAGUAAUGACAUUGAGGAGUAGUGUUAUAUUAUGCUACUUUCAGUUAGUAUAUAGAUAUAUUAUGGCUAGCAUUGCAGAAAAAGCUAUUUCCCCGCCUUUCUUUUCUUUCUGUUUCAAAGUUUAUAUUCACAACUAAUUAUUGAUUCACAAAAAGUGCACUUUUUUGCUGAUUUAAGCAUGUUACAUAUUUCCACUGUAUCAUCUCAUAAGGAAACCACUAUGAAAACUAGCACUGAAGUGACCCUUCACAUGAAAUGAUUAACUUGACCAAAGCAUUAACAAGCUGAUCACAAGGUUGUGCAAUACAGUAUUGAAUAUGCAAAUUUUAAUUUGCAUUGCACCUGCUUAAUGAACCACAUAAAAUUUAAAUAUAUUG